rnacentral:rRNA from 1 species
GAUGAACGCUGGCGGCGUGCUUAACACAUGCAAGUCGAACGGAAAGGCUAGUGCUUGCACUGGUACUCGAGUGGCGAACGGGUGAGUAACACGUGGGUGAUCUGCCCUGCACUUCGGGAUAAGCCUGGGAAACUGGGUCUAAUACCGGAUAGGACCAUCGUCUAGUGUCGGUGGUGGAAAGUUUUUCGGUGUGGGAUGAGCUCGCGGCCUAUCAGCUUGUUGGUGGGGUAAUGGCCUACCAAGGCGUCGACGGGUAGCCGGCCUGAGAGGGUGUACGGCCACAUUGGGACUGAGAUACGGCCCAGACUCCUACGGGAGGCAGCAGUGGGGAAUAUUGCACAAUGGGCGGAAGCCUGAUGCAGCGACGCCGCGUGGGGGAUGACGGCCUUCGGGUUGUAAACUCCUUUCGUCAGGGACGAAGCGAAAGUGACGGUACCUGGAUAAGAAGCACCGGCUAACUACGUG